UGGGGGAUAUUGCACAAUGGGGGAAACCCUGAUGCAGCAACGCCGCGUGAAGGAAGAAGGUCUUCGGAUUGUAAACUUCUGUCCUCAGGGAAGAUAAUGACGGUACCUGAGGAGGAAGCUCCGGCUAACUACGUGCCAGCAGCCGCGGUAAUACGUAGGGAGCGAGCGUUGUCCGGAUUUACUGGGUGUAAAGGGUGCGUAGGCGGAUAGGCAAGUCAGUGGUGAAAUCUAUGGGCUUAACCCAUAAACUGCCAUUGAAACUGUUUAUCUUGAGUGGAGUAGAGGCAGGCGGAAUUCCCGGUGUAGCGGUGAAAUGCGUAGAGAUCGGGAGGAACACCAGUGGCGAAGGCGGCCUGCUGGGCUUUAACUGACGCUGAGGCACGAAAGUGUGGGUAGCAAACAGG
rnacentral:rRNA from 1 species